AUUUGACGUGUAAAAGCACACUUUGACAUCUAAGUUUGUUCGUUAUAAACUUCACGUGAAGAAAUUGACGAAAAAGAAAAUUGUUCUAUUUUUUCAUUUAUUUGGCGUGAAUUCAGUGUCACCAACCUGUGUCCAUUUGGCGGGAAGUGGAAGUAGAGCUGUAGAGCUUUUUGUUUAUUAUUAUUUGUUGAGGUUGAGUCUUUCAUGUUCAUGACAACCUAAAAAUUUUGAUUGGAAAAUGCAUAUAAGAUAAGGGGGUGGGAAAAUGGAAAUUAGUGGCUUUUUUGCAGUUCUGUCUGUUAGUUUUGCUCUGGCUGGGUCUCUUUUGUUUAAACAAUUAUAAUCAGCUGAAAGUGGUCUACAAAAAAACCAGGAAGGAAACGUAUUAUAGCCUUGUUGUGGCUAUGAAAGGCAAAAGAAAGAUACCUAUAAAAAGUGUAUUGACUAGUUGGAAGAAACUCCACAUUGUCGAUGCAUAAUAAGACAUUACUUUAUAAACAAAUAUCAAGACCUAGGAAUGGAACCUGGAUAAUAUAGUCAUCAAGAAGAUAGCAGGAGGUCAUGAGCAACAACAACUUCAUAAGUAUGAGAAUAUUGAGGAAAUCCAGCUCCUCGAUAUCUACUACUGGACAAACUAGAAGAUUGAAGAGGACAAAGCCUUUUGAACUAGUUUGAGUGAUAGGUGAUAGUGAAAAGCAGAGCGUAGUGCUUGUGUGCCUGUGUAUGUUAGAAUAGUGCACGAUCUUGUUAGAUUAGAUAAGAGACGCUAUAGGGUAAGCUCUUCAUUUUAAGGAACAGUAGUAAUUUAGGUUAAAUUAAAAUUGCUCAUUGGUCAGUUAUGACCAGAUUGUAAUUCUCUGAUGUUUGGCAAAAAGGGCUGAAGUCAGAAUUGCACAUCAAUAAUGUUUUGAUGAUUUCUGGACCAUAAAAAAAGUGUUGCAGACUUAAACUGUAUGUACCAAUAAAAAGAGCCGAUUUUUCUGGUCCAGAAAUCAUCAAAACAUUAUCGAUGUGCAAUUCUGACUUAAGCCCUUUUUCCCAAACAUCAGAGAAUUGCAAUGUACAAUUCAAUACAAAUGAAUCAUCAUCGUAGUGAUGAUUAUGGAAAAAAAUAUAUAUAUAUAUAUAGAAAUAUAUAUAUUUUGUGCAAUAAAAAUGUUUAUAUUUA